UAUCUCUGUAGAGUCUGCAUAUCAAUAAGCGGAGGAAAAGAAACUAACUAGGAUUCCCUUCAGUAACGGCGAGUGAAGCGGGAAGAGCUCAAAUUUGAAAUCUUCAAGGUUCUACCUUGACGAAUUGUAGUUUAAAGAAGUGUUUUCUGUUGGAUGUUUUGGUAAAAGUUCUUUGGAAUAGGACAUCAUAGAGGGUGAGAAUCCCGUAUUUGACCAUUACUUCCAGCGUUGUGAUACACUUUCAAAGAGUCGGAUUGUUUGGGAAUGCAGUCCAAAAUGGGUGGUAAAUUUCAUCUAAAGCUAAAUAUUGGCGAGAGACCGAUAGCGAACAAGUACCGUGAGGGAAAGAUGAAAAGAACUUUGAAAAGAGAGUUAAACAGUACGUGAAAUUGUCAAAAGGGAAGCGUUUGACACCAGUGUUGUUUUUCUGAAAAUCAAUUAAAGAACUGUUUAUGCUAAGCUGUUUAGACUUUAUCAGCUAUCUGUUUAGUUUUGAGCUUUUCUUUAAUGCACUUUUCAAUUAACAAGUCAACAUCAAUUUCUUUUGCUGUAAAAGAGCUUGAGGAAGGUGGCUUGAGAUUCGUCUUAAGUGUUUAUAGCCUCUUGCCUAUGCAGUCGGAGAGAUUGAGGUCUGCAGCGUAGAUCCUUCGGGGUUAGAUACAUUUGUGCUAAGUUAUAGCCUUUCAUAGACAACUUGUUGACUAUGAUCAGUCAUGUAGCUUACUCGCUUAUGCUAUUUUACCUACGCUUAGGAUGUUGACGAUCAGCUGAGCGCG
rnacentral:rRNA from 1 species